GAACCGUACAAACGUUAUUCGGAAUCACUGGGCUUAAAGGGUGCGUAGGCGGCUCUGCAAGUUGGGGUGUGAAAGCCCUCGGGCUCAACCGAGGAAUUGCGCCCAAAACUGCCGGGCUUGAGGGAGACAGAGGUGAGCGGAACUUAGGGUGGAGCGGUGAAAUGCGUUGAUAUCCUAAGGAACACCAGUGGCGAAAGCGGCUCACUGGGUCUCUUCUGACGCUGAGGCACGAAAGCUAGGGGAGCGAACGGGAUUAGAUACCCCGGUAGUCCUAGCCGUAAACGAUGAGCACUGGGUCGGAGGAUCCUCCAUAAUCUUCUGAUCGUAGCGAAAGUGUUAAGUGCUCCGCCUGGGGAGUAUAGUCGCAAGGCUG
rnacentral:rRNA from 1 species